CCUACGGGAGGCUGCAGUGGGGAAUAUUGCACAAUGGGGGAAACCCUGAUGCCGCGACGCCGCGUGAGUGAAGAAGUACUUCGUUAUGUAAAGCUCUAUCAGCAGGGAAGAAAAUGACGGUAACUGACUAAGAAGCCCCUGCUAACUACUUGCUAGCAGCCGCGGUAAUACGUAGGGGGCAAGCGUUAUCCGGAGGUACUGGGUGUAAAGGGAUCGUAGACGGCUGUGCAAGUCUGAAGUGAAAGCCCAGGGCUCAACCCUAGUACUGCUUUGGAAACUGUGAGGCGAGAGUGCUAGAGAGGAUAGUAGAAUUCCUGGUGUAGCGGUGAAAUGCGUAGAUAUUAGGAGGAACACCGUUAGCGAAGGCGGCUUACUGGACAGUAACUGACGUUGAGGCGCGAAAGCGUGGGGAGCAAACAGGAUUAGAUACCCGUGUAGUC
rnacentral:rRNA from 1 species